UUCCCUUCCCCCGGUACCAGCCCGACCCCGGCCCCGGUGGGCAGCAACCCCUCCAUCCCCCUUCCCCCGGUACCAGCCCGACCCCGGCCCCAGUGGGCAGCAACCCCUCGAUAUCCCUUUCCCCGGUACCAGCCCGAUCCCGGCCCCGGUGGGCAGCAACCCCCGAUAUCCCUUCCCCCGGUACCAGCCCAACCCCGGUCCCGGUGGGCAGCAACCCCUCGAUCCCCCUCACCUCGGUACCAGCCCGACCCCAGCCCCGGUGGGCAGCAACCCCCGAUAUCCCUUCCUCUAAUACCGGUCCGCUACCGGCAUCAGCGAGCGGAUCCUCGAUUCUCCGCUACCGGUUCGCUCCCGACCCCGGCGGACAGCAACCCCCGGUCCCCUUUCCCCCGGUACCGGCCCGCUCCCAGCCCCGCCCGAUCCCGGCCCCGGUGGGCAGCAACCCCCGAUAUCCCUUCCCCCGGUACCAGCCCAACCCCGGUCCCGGUGGGCAGCAACCCCUCGAUCCCCCUCACCUCGGUACCAGCCCGACCCCGGCCCCGGUGGGCAGCAACCCCCGAUAUCCCUUCCUCUAAUACCGGUCCGCUACCGGCAUCAGCGAGCGGAUCCUCGAUUCUCCGCUACCGGUUCGCUCCCGACCCCGGCGGACAGCAACCCCCGGUCCCCUUUCCCCCGGUACCGGCCCGCUCCCAGCCCCGACGGGCAGCGCUUCCCGAUCCCAAAUCCCCCUUCUCCCAGCACCUGCCCGCUCCUGGCCCCGGUGAGCACCAACCUCCGAUCCCCCUUCUCCCGGUAACGUCACGGCCCCCGGCGGGUGACGUUCCCCGCCCUCCCCCGCUCCCGGCGGGCAGACCCCUCACCCUUCCCCGCUACCGGCUCCGGCGGGCGGCGUUCCCCACCCUCCCCCGAGCCCGUCCCGCUCCCAGCGGGCAGCGCAUCCCACCGUCCCCAAACACCGGUCCGUGUCCCGGACAGCGCGUCUCCCGUCCCCCGGUCCCGACGCCCCCGCCCCGCACCUGCUUUCGCUUUCCUUUCCCGCACGGCGGGGGCGGGAGGGGGAAGGGGCGGGGCCUGGAGGGAGAAGGGGGCGGGGUUAGACGUCGCCCCGCCCCCCCCCCCGCGAGCGCCGGGUCGGGCUGA
rnacentral:lncRNA from 1 species